rnacentral:rRNA from 1 species
UACAGAGGGUGCGAGCGUUAAUCGGAAUUACUGGGCGUAAAGCGUGCGUAGACGGUUAUUUAAGUCGGGUGUGAAAGCCCCGGGCUCAACCUGGGAAUUGCAUUCGAGACUGAAUAGCUAGGGUACGGUAGAGGGAAGCGGAAUUUCCGGUGUAGCGGUGAAAUUCGUAGAUAUUGGGAAGAACACCAGUGGCGAAGGCGGCUCACUGGCCCGUAACUGACGCUGAGGUGCGAAAGCGUGGGGAGCAAACAGG